rnacentral:rRNA from 1 species
UGGGGAAUAUUGCGCAAUGGGCGAAAGCCUGACGCAGCGACGCCGCGUGAGGGAUGAAGGUCUUCGGAUCGUAAACCUCUGUCAGAAGGGAAGAAUAAGCAUCGUGCUAAUCAGCGAUGCCCUGACGGUACCUUCAAAGGAAGCACCGGCUAACUCCGUGCCAGCAGCCGCGGUAAUACGGAGGGUGCAAGCGUUAAUCGGAAUUACUGGGCGUAAAGCGCAUGUAGGCUGUAUGGCAAGUUGGAGGUGAAAUCCCACGGCUCAACCGUGGAACUGCCUUCAAAACUACCAAACUGGAGUGCGAGAGAGGAUAGCGGAAUUCCAGGUGUAGGAGUGAAAUCCGUAGAUAUCUGGAAGACAUCAGUGGCGAAGGCGGCUAUCUGGCUCGUAACUGACGCUGAGAUGCGAAAGCGU